CCUACGGGAGGCUGCAGUGGGGAAUAUUGCACAAUGGGGGAAACCCUGAUGCAGCGACGCCGCGUGAGUGAAGAAGUAUUUCGGUACGUAAAGCUCUAUCAGCAGGGAAGAAAAUGACGGUACCUGACUAAGAAGCCCCGGCUAACUACGUGCCAGCAGCCGCGGUAAUACGUAGGGGGCAAGCGUUAUCCGGAUUUACUGGGUGUAAAGGGAGCGUAGACGGCAGCGCAAGUCUGGAGUGAAAUCCCAUGGCUUAACCAUGGAACUGCUUUGGAAACUGUGCAGCUAGAGUGCAGGAGAGGUAAGCGGAAUUCCUAGUGUAGCGGUGAAAUGCGUAGAUAUUAGGAGGAAAACCAGUGGCGAAGGCGGCUUACUGGACUGUAACUGACGUUGAGGCUCGAAAGCGUGGGGAGCAAACAGGAUUAGAUACCCUGGUAGUC
rnacentral:rRNA from 1 species